ensembl:lncRNA
AACAGGUGGGGACAGUGGAGAACAGGUGGGGGCAGAAAAUAACAGGUGGGGACAGUGGAGAACAGGUGGGGACAGUGGAGAACAGGAGGGGACAUUGGGGAACAGGUGGGCACAGUGGAGAACAGGUGGGGGCAGAAAAUAACAGGUGGGGACAGUGGAGUACAGGUGGGGACAAUGGUGAACAGGUAGGGACAGUGGGGAACAGGUGGGGACAGUGGAGAACAGGUGGGGACAGUGGAAAACAGGUGGGGAUAGUGUGGAACAGGUGGGGACAGUGGGGAACAGGUGGGGAUAGUGUGGAAGAGGUGGAGCCAGCGGGGAACAGGAGGGGAAGAGGUGGAGCCAGCGGGGAACAGGUGGGGACAGUGGGGAACAGGUGGGGACAGUGGGGAACAGGUGGGGACAGUGGGGAACAGGUGGAGACAGUGGGGAACUGGUGGGGACAGUGGGGAACAGGUGGGGAAGGGGGAACAGGUGGGGACAGUGGGGAACAGGUGGGGACAGUGGGGAACAGGUGGGGGAGUGGGG